rnacentral:lncRNA from 1 species
CGACUGAAAUCGGCCACACUUGCAUCGGUCCUAGGGCCCUCGGAGGGCAAAAAAAUUACGAAAAACUGAAGCUUACCGACGGCGGUGCUCUCGGGUGUGGCGGCUCUCCGGCGAGGUUCGUGUUUUAGUGAUUUGGUUCCGAUCAACCUGUAGAGAAAAGAAUGGUGAUCACGGUGAUAUAAAAAUUGUAUCAAACGGAGGCCGGGAAGGGCCUUAUCGGAGGCAAAAACCGAGGAGGGGAGCAGCGGCGCCGCUGGGUUUCGGCCGUUUGGCUGGGAUUUUGGCUUCGAUUUGGCCACAGGGAAACUCAGCAUUGAAAAACAAGCCAGGGGUAUGAAAUUUACCUCGAUCGGCGGUCAGAAAACUCCCCGGUGCGGCGGCGGGUGGCGGCGGCCGGCUCCUCCGACGUCUUGUUCAUCUUCUCCGGCGAGGGCAGGCGGUUAGGGUUUUUGUGGUCAGGUGUGGGGGUUCUAUUUAUACCCUUUUGCCUUUUGAUCACAGCCGUCCAUUUUGAUUAAAUCUGGGCCGUCCGUGCGCGUCCAUCUGGGCCGUCCG